UAAACAGCGAUAGACUUAGUCGACAAGAGGGGAGGACGUGUUUUCUUUGUCGUAUUUUCUGUUUCUUUUGUUCUUGAUUUUGCUUUGUCGCAAAUGUUUAUGUUGUUUUUGAUGUUUUUCCGUGAGUCGGUUGGUUCAACGGAAAAUGAGUGCGAUGCUUUGAUGCCUGAAGAUUUCUCGUAUAAUGACUCUUAUACGA
rnacentral:lncRNA from 1 species